GGGCCCUCUGGGUCCAACCUCCCACCCGUGUCUAUCGUACCUUGUUGCUUCGGCGGGCCCGCCGUUUCGACGGCCGCCGGGGAGGCCUUGCGCCCCCGGGCCCGCGCCCGCCGAAGACCCCAACAUGAACGCUGUUCUGAAAGUAUGCAGUCUGAGUUGAUUAUCGUAAUCAGUUAAAACUUUCAACAACGGAUCUCUUGGUUCCGGCAUCGAUGAAGAACGCAGCGAAAUGCGAUAAGUAAUGUGAAUUGCAGAAUUCAGUGAAUCAUCGAGUCUUUGAACGCACAUUGCGCCCCCUGGUAUUCCGGGGGGCAUGCCUGUCCGAGCGUCAUUGCUGCCCUCAAGCACGGCUUGUGUGUUGGGCCCCCGUCCCCCUCUCCCGGGGGACGGGCCCGAAAGGCAGCGGCGGCACCGCGUCCGGUCCUCGAGCGUAUGGGGCUUUGUCACCUGCUCUGUAGGCCCGGCCGGCGCCAGCCGACACCCAACUUUAUUUUUCUAAGGUUGACCUCGGAUCAGGUAGGGAUACCCGCUGAACUUAAGCAUAUCAAUAAGCGGAGGAAAAGAAACCAACAGGGAUUGCCUCAGUAACGGCGAGUGAAGCGGCAAGAGCUCAAAUUUGAAAGCUGGCCCCUUCGGGGUCCGCGUUGUAAUUUGCAGAGGAUGCUUCGGGUGCAGCCCCCGUCUAAGUGCCCUGGAACGGGCCGUCAUAGAGGGUGAGAAUCCCGUCUGGGACGGGGUGUCUGCGUCCGUGUGAAGCUCCUUCGACGAGUCGAGUUGUUUGGGAAUGCAGCUCUAAAUGGGUGGUAAAUUUCAUCUAAAGCUAAAUACUGGCCGGAGACCGAUAGCGCACAAGUAGAGUGAUCGAAAGAUGAAAAGCACUUUGAAAAGAGAGUUAAACAGCACGUGAAAUUGUUGAAAGGGAAGCGUUUGCGACCAGACUCGCCCGCGGGGUUCAGCCGGCAUUCGUGCCGGUGUACUUCCCCGUGGGCGGGCCAGCGUCGGUUUGGGCGGCCGGUCAAAGGCCCUCGGAAUGUAUCACCUCUCGGGGUGUCUUAUAGCCGAGGGUGCAAUGCGGCCUGCCUGGACCGAGGAACGC
rnacentral:rRNA from 1 species